AAGUCGUAACAAGGUUUCCGUAGGUGAACCUGCGGAAGGAUCAUUUCCGAAAAAACAAAACAAACUAUACCAACCCACAGUGUGCUUAGUUUUGGGUCCCUUUUUUUUUUACUCUUUCAUGGUUUUAUACAAGGGGACGUGCGUGUGUGGCAACACAUGCGCUCUAUAACCUUGUAUAAUAUAUAUGCCGUGAGAGAGGCCUUGAUGAACUACCUCCAUGUUCUCUUAUUUUCCUAUGUGUACAUACAUGUGCAUAUACGAGAUAUGAGCGCAUCAGGUUGAUGUACCAUGAAGUGAUACUUUAAAACAGUAUACAUUAAAAAAAAUGAUACGACAACUUUUAACGGUGGAUCUCUUGGCUCGU
rnacentral:misc_RNA from 1 species